AGUCGAGGGCGAAGUUUCCUUCGGGAAGCGAGUAGACCGGCGAACGGGUGAGUAGCACGUGAGCAACCUACCUGGGAGAAGGGGAUAACUCGGGGAAACUCGGGCUAAUACCCUAUGAUGUGGCGGCACCGAAUGGUGAAGCCACUAAAGGGGGCGUCUUUCAGCGGAGCUCUCGCUUCCAGAUGGGCUCGCGACCUAUCAGCUUGUUGGUGAGGUAACGGCUCACCAAGGCGAUGACGGGUAGCUGGUCUCAGCGGAUGAUCAGCCACACGGGGACUGAGACACGGCCCCGACUCCUACGGGAGGCAGCAGUGGGGAAUUUUGGACAAUGGGCGCAAGCCUGAUCCAGCGACGCCGCGUACGGGAGGAAGCCCCUCGGGGUGUAAACCGUUGUCAGGGGGGAAGAACGGGCUCGGGCGAAUACCUCGGGCAUCUGACGGUACCCCCAGAGGAAGCGCCGGCUAACUCCGUGCCAGCAGCCGCGGUAAUACGGAGGGCGCGAGCGUUGUCCGGAAUUACUGGGCGUAAAGGGGGCGCAGGCGGCUUGCUGAGUCCUGUGUGAAGUCCUGCGGCUCAACCGUGGAAAGCCACAGGAUACUGGCGAGCUCGAGACGGGUAGAGGCGAGUGGAAUUCCCGGUGUAGCGGUGGAAUGCGUAGGUAUCGGGAAGAACACCAGUGGCGAAGGCGACUCGCUGGGCCCGUUCUGACGCUCAGGCCCGAAAGCGUGGGGAGCAAACAGGAUUAGAUACCCUGGUAGUCCACGCCGUAAACGAUGGGCACUAGGUGCUGGGAAGUGUGACCUUUUCGGUGCCGUAGCUAACGCGUUAAGUGCCCCGCCUGGGGAGUACGRCCGCMRGGCUGAAACUCAAAGGAAUUGACGGGGGCCCGCACAAGCGGUGGAGCAUGUGGUUAAUUUGAUGCAACGCGAAGAACCUUACCUGGGCUUGACAUGCUAGGGAACUCGGGUGGAAACAUCCGGGGCCCUUCGGGGCUCUAGCACAGGUGCUGCAUGGCUGUCGUCAGCUCGUGUCGUGAGAUGUUGGGUUAAGUCCCGCAACGAGCGCAACCCUUACUCGUAGUUGCCAGCGGGUAAAGCCGGGGACUCUACGGGGACUGCCGGUGAUAAACCGGAGGAAGGUGAGGACGACGUCAAGUCAUCAUGGCCCUUACGCCCAGGGCGACACACGUGCUACAAUGGCCGGUACAAUGGGCUGCAAUCCCGCGAGGGUGAGCUAAUCCCAAAAACCCGGUCUAAGUUCGGAUCGGAGUCUGCAACCCGACUCCGUGAAGCCGGAAUCGCUAGUAAUCGCGGAUCAGCCAUGCCGCGGUGAAUACGUUCCCGGGCUUUGUACACACCGCCCGUCACGCCAUGGAAGCCGGGGGGACCCGAAGUCAGUGGCCUAACCUUCGAGAGGGAGCUGCCGAAG
rnacentral:rRNA from 1 species